UACAAUAAUUGUUUUCUUGUACUAUGC
rnacentral:sRNA from 1 species